GAUGAACGCUGGCGGCGUGCCUAAUACAUGCAAGUCGAGCGACGCGUGGACGGGUGUGUAACACGUGGAUAAACUCCUAUAAGACUGGGGUUACUUAGGGAAAACGGUACUAAACCGGAUACUUAUAGCAGAAUCGGCACUGCAUUAGCUAGUUGAUAAGGUAACGGCUUACCAAGGCAACGAUGCAUAGCCGACCUGAGAGGGUGAUCAGCCACACUGGAACUGAGACACGGUCCAGACUCCUACGGUAGGCAGCAGUAGGGAAUCUUCCGCAAUGGGCGCAAGCCUGACGGAGCCACGCCGCGUGAGUGAAGAAGGUCUUCGGGUCGUAAAACACUGUUAGUAGGGAGGCGGUACCUGAUCAAAAAGCCACGGCUAACUACGUGCCAGCCGCCGCGGUAAUAC
rnacentral:rRNA from 1 species